GCCUAAUAGCACCAUGGGGGCCAAUCAAUCACCGAACAGUCUCUCGUUUGGUCUCAACAUCAGCCAAACACUUUAAAAAUCGGGUCUCUCCGCUGUCCUGAUUGCAGAAGUGAUUUCCAGGAGCCAUCCAUCAGCGUGAUCUUGGAGAAUAUUAAAAAAAAAAGUAUCUAUCCCUUGAUAUAAAGCAGACAUGUUCCCAUAAUUAUCUGUGUGUGUGUGCGUGUGUGUUACACGCAACGCAAUCAAUCUGAAGCCGUGCGCUAAACGACACCACUGAACUGGAGUAAAUUGACUGGAAGCCUCCCAAUGAUAAUAAUUGCUGUUUCAAUCAGACGCCAUUCUCUGCCGCCUGCACCAGUGAUCAGAUAAAACAGCCGAUGAUCUCAAACACGCUGCGCUGCUCAAUCAUUCAAAUCACUCACGAGAUUUCAUUAGCAGCCGAGCGCGCAGUGGUGUUAUGGUGCUGGCGAGCUGAUUGUGGUAUAAAUACGUCUUUCCUUGUAGACAAACAGACGCGAGGGAGGAUUCGAACCGACGGUUGCUCUUAAAUUAGUGAUCAGCGUCAACUCUCCCCGCCACAUGACACGCCGACACACACGUCCGGCCAGGACUCCAGUUACCCGCUGCUCCGCUCUGCCACCCUUCCCCUGGCAAAGCCGACCGUGCCUCUGUGGCACCCGAGGGCCCACGGCAGGAACACUGCGGCUAUUGAGCCCCGAGGAGCGCCUCCCGGCUCCGCCGACUACGCUGGCACAGGCCGUUGUUUGUGUUGGCACUCGCGUAUAAAGGCAGCCUUUUCUCCUGUCUGCUCCAUCACGCCUUCUUCCAGUCUUUGAUUAGGGAAAACACAGUCUCCGAACAACGGGGGGCCACCCUUCAGCCGUGAGAUGUGUCAAUAUGUCAGACUCUUGUGGACUCGGUGGGGUUUUUUUUUUCUUCUCCUGGAGACUCACACAGGCUUCAUGAGUUUUCCUUUCAGAUUCCGCUCCACAUGGAAGUAAACGUACAAAACGUAUUUCAUUUUAAUGGCCCCUCAUUAGGCUGACAGUGACAGAAUAAUUCAGGAAGAAUAAAUGUUAUUUCAGGAGCAAAUUUCCCCCCAGAAACAAGAAGACCGAAUACAGAUGUGGGUUAGUGAAGGCAGCUAAUGAGUAUCAUGAUCUGCUGCGCAAAUACUGUUAAGUCGCCCCGAAGAUGAAAUAUUCACAUCAUGUAUUCUAAUACAGA